GGGAUUAUAGUUUUAAUUUGGUAAAACAGAUAAUUUGCGUUUAUAAAUUAUUGGUUCGAAUCCAAUUAUUUCCAC
rnacentral:tRNA from 1 species